ACUUUAUAGUCACCUAACCAAGAUACAAAGCACGUGUUGCAGUGGAGAAUGCAGGAGAGCUCACUGGUUCCUGUCUAUAUUGUUCAUCUAAACCUGCAGCCUGCACCUUGCUGCUGAUCUUCCCAGAAAAGGAUGGUUCCAGGAAGAACACAGACCUCUACUCAGCAUGAAGGACCUAGGAGGACGGACGGAGGAAGGCUUUGAGGCAGGGCAAGGUGAAGAGCCCUUAUCUCAGUAUUGUGAAGCAGAGAACAGCCUUCCAGAAUGCUUCACUUUCCCAUAGAAGGUACUGGAUCCUCCGCCAAACACCAGGAGGUGAUCAGAAUCCACUCAAUAGCACCCCACCCCGUCCUCUUUCUUCUUCAUUGGAUUCAUUUGUGUCAAUAUUUUACUUUGGAGAGUAGAGAAAAUACCAGCACCUACAAGCAAGCCAGCCAAAACAACAGCAUAGCCGGGAACAGAAUUUGAGUCUUCUUGGACAAUAUAUACUUAAGGAAAACUUCUUUGUGCUUCAGUUGUCUAACUUGGCUCUUCUUACUCCACCUAAAAUAUAUUAAAUUUUGACCUUCCAAA